rnacentral:rRNA from 1 species
CCCUUAGAUGUUCUGGGCUGCACGCGUGUUACAAUCGGGAGUACAACAAGAUUGCAAAUCCUAGUGGAUGAGUGGUUCUUCGAAAUUUUCUGAAGACUGGGAUAGUUGAUUGAAAUUAUUCAACUCGAACGAGGAAUUCCUUGUAAUUGUAAUUCAUUAUAUUGUAAUGAAUACGUCCCUGCCCUUUGUACACACCGCCCGUCGCUCCUACCGAUUGAAUGAUCCGAUGAAUAUCAUGGAUUGAGGAUGCAAGUAGGUUAGCCUAUCUUCAUCUUCGAGAAGUGAAGUAAAUCUUAUCAUUUAGAGGAAGGAGAAGUCGUAACA